rnacentral:misc_RNA from 1 species
AAACUUGCUGGAAACGACGCUCCAGGGCAGGAUCUUUCUCAAUAUAUUUACGGUAUUCAUCCAAGGUGGUCGCACCAAUACAUCGUAGUUCUCCUCGACCAAGCAUCGGCUUCAAUAGAUUCCCAGCAUCCAUUGCACCAUUAGUAGCACCUGCACCAACAACAGUAUGUAUCUCAUCAAUAAAAAGGAUGAUCUGUCCUUCAGAUUCUGUCACUUCCUUAAGCACUGCCUUCAAUCUGUCUUCAAAUUCACCACGAUAUUUUGCACCAGCUAUGAGCGCACCCAUAUCAAGAGAUAUCAACCUUCGAUUCAUCAAAGCCUGAGGUACAUCUCCUUGCACAAUUCUCUGAGCAAGCCCUUCAGAGAUUGCAGUUUUCCCAACUCCAGGCUCACCAAUUAACACUGGGUUAUUCUUUGUUCUCCUUGAGAGGAUUUGUAUGCAUCUACGUAUCUCAUCAUCUCUUCCUAUAACUGGGUCAAGCUUCCCCGCUCUAGCCAUAGCAGUCAGGUCUUUUCCAUAUUUUUCUAGUGAUUCAUACUUCCCUUCAGGAUCUUGAUCAAUAACAUUUUGGCGUCCCCUUAUGGAUUCAAUGGCAGUUUUCAGUGUCUUCAGGGAAAUCUGGAAAUCAUUAAACAGUUGCUUCCCAAAUCGUUUAUCUUGAAUGAAGCCAAGCACCAAAUGCUCAACUGACACAAAGGAAUCACCAUACUCUUUCUUGUACUCCCUGGCUCUCUGCAUCAGACCUUCCAACUCUCGGCCUAACAUAGAACCUGCUGUCUCACCAAUAACCUUUGGUUGUUGUCUAAUAAACUUAUCAGUAGCCUCUAAAAGGCGGGUAUUAUCUACACCCGCCUUGGAGAAUAUGCGACGAGCCAGCCCAUUCUUUUGCUCCAACAGUGCCUUCAUCAAGUGCUCAGUCUCUACUAUUUGAUGCUUGUUCUCUUUAGCUAUUUCUGGCGAUGCAACAAUUGCUUGCCAUGCCAUUUCUGUAAAAUCUUGCUGAGUGAUCCUUCCAUUUGAAGCAUCACAACGUACGGUAAGCCUUGAGCCCUGAGAAAGUUUCUCAGUUUUCCUACUGAAGAACACAUCCUUCCUCUUCAGUUUCAACGAACUACACUUGCCAAGAACUCGCGAUUUGCCUGAGAAGUUCAGGUACGGCGCUGAAUGGGAUGAAAAUAAAGCAACUCUGUUUGAAGAAUUGGAAGAAGAAGAAGGAACGCAAAACUGUACGCCGGAAAAUGACGUCACGGUAGACAUACCGGUGAACCAAAUGUACUAUUCUGUUAUCUCAACGUUAUUGAAGAAGGAAGAAAAACGACAAAGUUUCA